AUCCUUCAGGCCAACACUGAGAAAGAAAAUACCAUUGGAAUCAGACCUCCCCUACAACAAAGGGAAAGAUUUGUAACCAAGAAAGUUCUCAGGCAGGGACUGUGCCUAUCAAGGUAUUCUCUCGACGCAUUGCUUUCCCAAAUAUGUAUACCCUUCUCCUCUAGAACCUGUUCAAAAAGAACACAAUGAUUAUCUUUUGUGAGCGAGUCAUGCACGCACGAGCGUGCGAGUGAUUGCAACAUAACAACAGGACAGAAUAGGAACCUUACCUUUGCAUUAGUUGAACCACUGAUGAACCACAAGAGUUCUUCAACUACACCACGCCAAAAUACUCUCUGCAAAAACUACCAACAUGUUAUUAUUCAGCAGCCAGAAAUUUGAAGAAAAUGAAAAUUGAAGCUGUAUCUCUCGUAUCAAUGCUUGUUGAGAGCCAUGUUCCAGAUAAAAUUAUAGAAGGAUUGUAUUCUACUCAUCCUUCAAAUUCUAGGCCCUUCAAAAAACACCUAACACUAGAAGAGGCUACAGAACAAUGGCAUAUGUGCAUUUUAAUACAAUUUGCAGAUCAUGUUAUUCACUGCAUAGAUGGUACGCAACUUAUGGAAUGAAUACAUCUAUGUAGCAACAACAAUGUGUUGUCUUCUCAGUUCAUAACUGAUUCAACUCUUAAUUCCUAGCUUCCAAUGAAGUUUCACAUUGCCGUGUUGUUAGUCUUGCCAGCAUAUUAUGCAUACUCAUGUAACUGAAGGGCAAUAAUCAGUUUUAGAAUUCAGAUUUUAAAAAUGACAAAUGGAUAGAAAUGGCGCAGAUAACUACAAUGGCUUUAUACCACAAGCAGGGAAAGUAUUAAAGAAAAGCCAUCCCACAGCCAAACUCUUGUAUGGUAACAAAUGCUAAAGGGACCAGCCAAAAGGGAACUUGUACCACAUGAAGCAACAAGAUUGACCUUGCUGAGAGAUUCUAGAAUUAUACAUCAACAAGUAUUAUUGAAGAAAAAUCUAGUACCUUGGUUGUAAGCAACGGAAAAUAUCUCCGCAAGUUGAAGCGCAUCUGCGCGGUAAAGGCAUAAUGUAAGAUGCAUUUUAUAUUAUUCCUACACUAGAAGCAUGAAGGUUUAAGAGGAUAUACCUGACAACCAAAUUUUGACAAUGUUCCAGUUAAUGUUCUAUCA